GCGUCGGUAGUGCAACGGUUCAGCACGCGCUUCCUGUUAGGGUGAAAUCUGGGUUCAAGUCUAGCUGGCGCA